rnacentral:rRNA from 1 species
UGGGUCCGACCUGCCCAGUGAACUUUUUAACGGCCGCAGUACCCUGACUGUGCAAAGGUAGCAUAAUAAUUUGUCUUAUAAUUGAAGACUAGAAUGAACGGUCAAAUGCAAAUAAAACUGUCUCCCAUGCAAAACUAAAAAUUAAUUUAUUGGUUCAAAAGCCAACAUUUAAUAAAUAGACGAGAAGACCCUAUUGAGCUUAAUUUUUACUUAUAUUUGUUAACUUAUCUAUAAUAAUAAAAUUUUGUUGGGGCGACAAAGGAAUUUACUUAGCUUCCUUUAAAACUUUAAUAUCAAAAUUAAACCGAUCCGUCUAUCACGAUCAAAAAACAAGUUACCAUAGGGAUAACAGCAUAAUUCUUUUCAAGAGCCCAAAUCGAAAAAAGAGUUUGUGACCUCGAUGUUGGACUAAGGUAAUUAUAAAACGCAGCCGUUUUUUUGAAUAGUCUGUUCGACUAAUAG